UAACGCGAAGAACCUUACCUGGGUUUGACAUACACCGGAAAGCCUUAGAGAUAAGGCCCCUUUUGUCGGUGUACAGGUGGUGCAUGGCUGUCGUCAGCUCGUGUCGUGAGAUGUUGGGUUAAGUCCCGCAACGAGCGCAACCCUCGUUCUAUGUUGCCAGCACGUAAUGGUGGGGACUCAUAGGAGACUGCCGGGGUCAACUCGGAGGAAGGUGGGGAUGACGUCAAGUCAUCAUGCCCCUUAUGUCCAGGGCUUCACGCAUGCUACAAUGGCCGGUACAAAGGGCUGCGAUCCCGUAAGGGGGAGCGAAUCCCAAAAAGCCGAUCUCAGUUCGGAUUGGGGUCUGCAACUCGACCCCAUGAAGUCGGAGUCGCUAGUAAUCGCAGAUCAGCAACGCUGCGGUGAAUACGUUCCCGGGUCUUGUACACACCGA
rnacentral:rRNA from 1 species